UAGAGGCAUGGGGUGGGGGGCAUCUGAUGAAUGAAACAACUGAAGGAGAACAGGACACGGGACGGGAAGGUGGACGUGCUGAAAGACAGACUGACAUAUGUCUGCCACCUAGUGCCAAGCAGGAGAGGAAGACAAAGGAAACCUUCUUUGUUUUGAAAUGAAGACGUGAGAGAAAAAUUUUAAGCUUCUGUUUAUACGCUCUGCAAGAUACAUAUUGUGGGUGUUCCAUCUUCUCUCUCACCAUGAGCCUCCCACUGAGAUUGAUUCACUGCUGCCUGGACACCAGGCCCCUUAAGGUCAUUAAAAAGUCGUUACCAUCCUGUGUGCAAAGUCUGUGCCUCUGAAAGCAGUUUUCUGGA